CCCGCCUGGAGCCGGGUCGGCGGCCGCAGCCCCCAGUGCCUGCGGGGCCCCGCGGCGGCGAGACCUGCAGGAGAGUGUCGCGCACCGACCGCCUGCAUCCCCGCUGCGCCUGGUAACCAGGUACGCGCACCUGUCAGGUUCGGACCCGCCGAGGUGCGCACCAGUAAUACAAGAACAGGCGGUGCAGCCAGCUGAUACACAAUGACUGAGAGAAAAACCAGGGAAAGAAGGGACAUUGACACCCAUCCUCGUCUGUGCACGGAAUGAUCCUGUUAUCCACGGCCCCACUGGAGGAAGCACCGGUCCCAUCCCUGAGGACGCUUGUAGGUCCUGGUUGCAGAGCUGAAGAAAUAAUGACUCACAGGAUUGGGAAAGCCUCCUGAGCCGCUGCAAUUGCAGGCGUGGGCCACCGCUCCUGGUCACAUUCCUGGUUUUUAUGUGCCGUGUUUUUGCUCCACUGGAAUGCACUUUGGCUCAAGAUGUAAGGAAGAGACCUAAUUCAACAUCCUGGUGGAUGGAAGCUUCAUGGUUCCUAGCAACAUUUAUCAGCCAAUGGACUAGAAUCGUCAUCAGCUUACCAGCAGUGCAAUAGGGCCGAGGACCGAACUCAGGGCCUUGCGUGUACAAGGCAAGCGCUCUGCCACUGAGCUAAAUCCCCAACCCUGCAAAUAGAUUUGAAACAGGAUUUCUGCUUCCAGUUCUCAGAAGGUUCUAGCAAAAAUACUAAACCACCAUUUGACCCAGUUAUCCCACUCCUUGGUUUAUACCUAAAGGACUAAAAAUCAGCAUACUACGGUGAUACAGCCACAUCAAUGUUUAUAGCAGCUCAAUUCACAAUAGCUAAACUAUGGA